rnacentral:rRNA from 1 species
CAGUAGCCGCGGGAAUACGAAGGGGGCUAGCGUUGCUCGGAAUUACUGGGCGUAAAGGGAGCGUAGGCGGACAUUUAAGUCAGGGGUGAAAUCCCAGAGCUCAACUCUGGAACUGCCUUUGAUACUGGGUGUCUUGAGUGUGAUAGAGGUAUGUGGAACUCCGAGUGUAGAGGUGAAAUUCGUAGAUAUUCGGAAGAACACUAGUGGCGAAGGCGACAUACUGGAUCAUUACUGACGCUGAGGCUCGAAAGCGUGGGGAGCAAACAGGAUUAGAGACCCCAGUAGUCCCUGUCUCUUAUAC